AUGUACAUUCCUACAACAUAGCGUUAAUGCAUCAGAUCCCAUUAGAACUCUGCAGUUAAUCACGCUCAGGCUAGAGUAGUACUAGGAUGGGUGACCACGUGGGGAGUCCUAGUGUUUUACAUG
rfam:Picea glauca, whole genome shotgun sequence.